AGUGAACGCUGGCGGUAGGCCUAACACAUGCAAGUCGAACGGCAGCACAGGAGAGCUUGCUCUCUGGGUGGCGAGUGGCGGACGGGUGAGGAAUACAUCGGAAUCUACCUUUUCGUGGGGGGUAACGUAGGGAAACUUACGCUAAUACCGCAUACGACCUACGGGUGAAAGCCGGGGACCUUCGGGCCUGGCGCGGAUAGAUGAGCCGAUGUCGGAUUAGCUAGUUGGCGGGGUAAAGGCCCACCAAGGCGACGAUCCGUAGCUGGUCUGAGAGGAUGAUCAGCCACACUGGAACUGAGACACGGUCCAGACUCCUACGGGAGGCAGCAGUGGGGAAUAUUGGACAAUGGGCGCAAGCCUGAUCCAGCCAUACCGCGUGGGUGAAGAAGGCCUUCGGGUUGUAAAGCCCUUUUGUUGGGAAAGAAAAGCAGUCGGUUAAUACCCGAUUGUUCUGACGGUACCCAAAGAAUAAGCACCGGCUAACUUCGUGCCAGCAGCCGCGGUAAAAC
rnacentral:rRNA from 1 species